rnacentral:rRNA from 1 species
AGAGUUUGAUCCUGGCUCAGGAUGAACGCUAGCGGCAGGCAUAAUACAUGCAAGUUGAACGCUGAGGACAGCAGCAAUGUUAUCCUUGGAGUGGCGCACGGGUGCGUAACACGUAUGCAAUCUGCCCCUAACAGGGGAAUAGCCCGGCGAAAGUCGGAUUAAUACCCCAUAACAAUGUGAACCGGCAUCGGUUUAUAUUUAAAGCUCCGGCGGUUAGGGAUGAGCAUGCGCGACAUUAGCUAGAUGGCGGGGUAACGGCCCACCAUGGCUACGAUGUCUAGGGGGUCUGAGAGGAUUUUCCCCCACACUGGUACUGAGACACGGACCAGACUCCUACGGGAGGCAGCAGUAGGGAAUAUUGGGCAAUGGACGCAAGUCUGACCCAGCCAUGCCGCGUGAAGGACGAAGGCCCUAUGGGUUGUAAACUUCUUUUGUACGGGAAGAAACCCCUCUACGUGUAGGGGGCUGACGGUACCGUAAGAAUAAGGAUCGGCUAACUCCGUGCCAGCAGCCGCGGUAAUACGGAGGAUCCAAGCGUUGUCCGGAUUUAUUGGGUUUAAAGGGUGCGUAGGCGGAUUACUAAGUCAGAGGUGAAAGUUUGCAGCUUAACUGUAAAAUUGCCUUUGAAACUGGUAGUCUUGAGUAUAGUUGAGGUGGGCGGAAUGUGUCAUGUAGCGGUGAAAUGCUUAGAUAUGAUACAGAACACCGAUUGCGAAGGCAGCUCACUAAACUGUAACUGACGCUGAGGCACGAAAGCGUGGGGAGCAAACAGGAUUAGAUACCCUGGUAGUCCACGCC